UACGUAGGGGGCAUAGCGUUGUCCGGAUUUAUUGGGCGUAAAGAGCGUGUAGGCGGCCACGGUAGGUCUGCUGUGGAAAACUACAGGGCUCAACCCCGGAGACGCCAUCUGAUACUGCGGGUGACUGGAGUCUGGUAGGGGAACACGGAAUUCCUGGUGUAGCGGUGAAAUGCGCAGAUAUCAGGAGGAACACCGAGUGGCGAAGGCAGUGUUCUGG
rnacentral:rRNA from 1 species